CCGGCGGUAUGCUUAAGACAUGCAAGUCGAACGGAAUCUUCGGAUUCAGUGGCGGACGGGUGAGUAACACGUGGGAAUCUACUGAGUAGUGGGGGACAGCCCGGCGAAAGCCGGAUUAAUACCGCAUACGCCCUACGGGGGAAAGGCGCAAGCCGCUAUUUAAUGAGCCCGCGUAAGAUUAGCUAGUUGGUAGGGUAAAGGCUUACCAAGGCAACGAUCUUUAGCUGGUCUGAGAGGAUGGCCAGCCACAUCGGGACUGAGACACGGCCCGGACUCCUACGGGAGGCAGCAGUCGGGAAUAUUGGACAAUGGGCGCAAGCCUGAUCCAGCAAUACCGCGUGUGUGAAGAAGGCCUGCGGGUUGUAAAGCACUUUCAGUUGGGAAGAUAAUGACGUUACCAACAGAAGAAGCACCGGCUAACUCCGUGCCAGCAGCCGCGGUAAUACGGAGGGUGCAAGCGUUAAUCGGUAUUACUGGGCGUAAAGCGUGCGUAGGCGGUUUUUUAAGUCAGAUGUGAAAUCCCCGGGCUCAACCUGGGAACUGCAUCUGAUACUGGGAGACUAGAGUGUGGGAGAGGAGAGUGGAAUCUCCGGUGUAGCGGUGAAAUGCAUAGAGAUCGGAAGGAACAUCAGUGGCGAAGGCGACUCUCUGGACCAACACUGACGCUGAGGCACGAAAGCGUGGGUAGCAAACAGGAUUAGAUACCCUGGUAGUCC
rnacentral:rRNA from 1 species